GAUCAACGCUGGCGGCGUGCAUGAGACACGCAAGUCGAACGGACGAUUAGGGCUUGCCUUGAUCGUUAGUGGCGGACGGCUGAGUAACGCGUAGGUGACCUGCCCCGAAGUGGGGAAUAACUGCCCGAAAGGGUGGCUAAUACCGCAUGUGCCGGUGCGUUCAUUCGCACCAGCAAAGCCGCAAGGCGCUUCGGGAGGGGCCUGCGUCCGAUUAGCUCGUUGGUGGGGUAACGGCUCACCAAGGCGACGAUCGGUAGGUGGUCUGAGAGGACGAUCAACCAGACUGGGAGUGAGACACGGCCCAGACUCCUACGGGAGGCAGCAGUCGGGAAUUUUGCGCAAUGGGCGAAAGCCUGACGCAGUAACGCCGCGUGAGGGAUGAAGGCCUUCGGGUUGUAAACCUCUUUUCUCAGGGACGAUAGUGACGGUACCUGAGGAAUAAGCCACGGCUAACUACGUGCCAGCCGCCGCGGUAAUAC
rnacentral:rRNA from 1 species